rnacentral:rRNA from 1 species
UAGCGUAGGGACCGAGCGUUGUCCGGAAUCAUUGGGCGUAAAGAGCGUGUAGGCGGCCACUUAAGUCCUGCGUGAAAUCUUGCGGCUCAACCGCAAGCGGUCGUGGGAAACUGGGUGGCUAGAGUGCGGGAGAGGAGAGUGGAAUUCCUGGUGUAGCGGUGGAAUGCGCAGAUAGUCAGGAAGAACACCCGUGGCGAAGGCGGCUCUCUGGAACGCAACUGGACGCUGAGACGCGAAAGCGUGGGGAGCAAACAGG